rnacentral:tRNA from 1 species
GGAGGCGUGGCUGAGUGGCCGAAAGCGGCUCCGUGCUAAGGAGUUAGGGGAGCAAUUCCCUCGCAGGUUCAAAUCCUGCCGCCUCCG